rnacentral:lncRNA from 1 species
CCAGUGUCUCACAACCUACACAGACUUCUUCAGGGGAGCAAUUCUACUGGCUGGAGAAAUGGACCGAUGAGUGGGAACCCAAAGGAAUGCAGCAAAGGAGUGAAGUACAGUUUUGGGACAUACUGUGAGAACCACAUCCUGGGGCUAUCAAUGAGGACCCAUGGGAGAACGCCAUAAGCUGUUUAUUUAGAGCAUGCUGGAGAGUAGGAGGUCCCCCACUACUGAGCCGGCGAGGACAGGAAGAGGAAAUCCGCACGUGUAGCUGAGAAAGUGGUGCAGCGCUGAAGGACGUUAUUUGCCUGCGUAUUAGACUAUUACAGGCUGACUCAUCGGAGGGUACGGGAUGAAAAAGGGCAACAACUGUUGGCGUCCCGCUGUGGGGCCUCUUCUGGAGCAGAGUGUGUGAAGAGGUUUAAAGAAAGAGAGUCAAAGCUCCUGUCAUACAGGAAAGCAGGGGCAGAGCCAACUGCCCAGCAGACAAGCGGACCAAACUGGAGGUGGUGAAGAGAACUGAGCGAGAACCAACAUCACCACAUCUGAAAGAGAGCAAAGCAGGUGAGUAAGUAGCAGUAUUUUAAAUGCAGAUGGAAGCUGGUGAUUGGUUAGCUUAUAUGGGAUAUAUUAUUUGAUUGUACUGUGCUGAGCUUUUAUGUUUAAAAUAUUUUUUCUUUUCAUUAUUGAACUAAAAUUCUACUUGCAUAACAAUACAUUUUUAAGUUUAG